GAAUAUUGCGCAAUGGGGGAAACCCUGACGCAGCGACGCCGCGUGGAGGACGAAGGCCUUCGGGUCGUAAACUCCUGUCAAGAGGGACGAAAGCCGCGGGGAUGAAUGAGCCCUGCGGUUGACGGUACCCCUGGAGGAAGCCCCGGCUAACUCCGUCCCAGCAGCCGCGGUAAUACGGAGGGGGCCAGCGUUGUUCGGAAUCAUUGGGCGUAAAGGGCGCGUAGGCGGCCAAGCAAGUCGGAGGUGAAAUCCCUCGGCUCAACCGGGGAACUGCCCCCGAUACUGCUUGGCUCGAGUCCCGGAGAGGGUAGUGGAAUUCCCAGUGUAGCGGUGAAAUGCGUAGAUAUUGGGAGGAACACCGGUGGCGAAGGCGGCUACCUGGACGGGUACUGACGCUGAGGCGCGAAAGCGUGGGGAGCAAACAGG
rnacentral:rRNA from 1 species